rnacentral:rRNA from 1 species
UACAGAGGGUGCAAGCGUUGUUCGGAAUUAUUGGGCGUAAAGGGCGCGUAGGCGGUGCCACAAGUCACCUGUGAAAUCCCUCGGCUUAACCGGGGAACUGCGUCUGAUACUGGAUGGCUUGAGUUCGGGAGAGGGAUGCGGAAUUCCAGGUGUAGCGGUGAAAUGCGUAGAUAUCUGGAGGAACACCGGUGGCGAAGGCGGCAUCCUGGACCGACACUGACGCUGAGGAGCGAAAGCCAGGGGAGCAAACGGG